GCGGGUGUAGCUCAGUGGUAGAGCUCUUGCUUCCCAAGCAAGUUGUCGUGGGUUCGAUCCCCAUCACCCGCUCCA
rnacentral:tRNA from 2 species